rnacentral:rRNA from 1 species
CACGCACACACGCGCGGCAUAUCAAUAAGCGGAGGAAAAGAAACUAACUAGGAUUCCCUUAGUAACGGCGAGUGAAGCGGGAAGAGCUCAAAUUUGAAAUCUUCAAGGUUUUACCUUGACGAAUUGUAGUUUAAAGAAGUGUUUUCUGUUGGAGUUUUGGUAAAAGUUCUUUGGAAUAGGACAUCAUAGAGGGUGAGAAUCCCGUAUUUGACCAUUAUUUCCAACUGUGUGAUACACUUUCAAAGAGUCGGAUUGUUUGGGAAUGCAGUCCAAAAUGGGUGGUAAAUUUCAAUCUAAAGCUAAAUAUUGGCGAGAGACCGAUAGCGAACAAGUACCGUGAGGGAAAGAUGAAAAGAACUUUGAAAAGAGAGUUAAACAGUACGUGAAAUUGUCAAAAGGGAAGCGUUUGACACCAGUGUUGUUUUCUCGAAAAUCAAUUAAAAAUGGUGGGAUGUUGUGUUGUAUUGACUUUAUCAGCUUUCUGCACUUUUUUCCUAUCUUUUUUAAUGCACUUUUCGUUUAACAAGUCAACAUCAAUUUCUUUUGUUGUAAAAGGGUCAUUGGAAGGUGGCUUUCUUUUCGGAGAAAGUGUUUAUAGCCUUUGGCUUCUGCAAUCGGAGAGAUUGAGGUCUGCAGCGUAGAUCCUUCGGGGUUAGAUACAUUUGUGCUAAGUUAUAGCCUUUCAUAGACAACUUGUUGACUAUGAUCAGUCAUGUAGCUUACUCGCUUAUGCUAUUUUACCUACGCUUAGGAUGUUGAACUCUAUCACACACAG